rnacentral:tRNA from 1 species
GGGUCUGUAGCUCAGUGGGAGAGUGCCUGCUUGACACGCAGGAGGCCGUGCGUUCAAUCCGCACCAGACCCACCA